UUGAGACAGUGGAUGUUUAAUUCUGAUGUUGUUCUGAGAUUACUGCUAGUUAGCUGUGAUGGUUUCAUUAUUCGUUUGCAAAUUCACUAAGAAACUGAUCCAAAACCCCUUUUUAUUUCUCUGUGAACCACCGUCUCCGGGGAGCCGCUCCGUCGUCUUCCGUUAAUUAGAGUGACCUAGAUUAGAUUUUGAUUUGGGGGAAAAUAUUUCUCCAUAAUUUAACGGUUCUUCUUCUUUCUUUUCCUCUUAUGUUACGCUGCGACCAGUAUUCUCUACAAUCAUGCGGUUUAUCCUGAGGAGAGCUUCGUGAAAGUGAAGAAAUGUGGAUUUCCAAUGGUGCUUAUUGAAGACGAAUUCGUCAAAUCAUUCAUGUCUAAUCACACUUCUCAGAUCUCCGGUACUGUUUUUCUUUCCUAGCAUUUCAUAGUUUUGUUAGAGUUUUGUGUGUGAGAAUGUGAAGAUCUGAGAAGUGGCAGAGAAUAGUGUUAGUAAUAAUGAGCAAAGCCACUAGUGAAGUCUUGGAGAGGUGGAAUUUUCGGAUUGAGACAAAGGAUUGUUGCCUUUAUCUUGCAAACGUUCUUUACUGAGCUGGAUCAUGAGGAAGAAGAAAAAUUGUCAAAGACAGUUUAGUUAUUCAUAUGUAUUCUAGUGCUGCGUCCUAAUCCUGUAAUGCAUGUGAAUGUCUAGAAGAGUCUCUAGCUUCAUGGUUUUGUUGAUUGUGUCACUUGUAAUGUUAGGUUAAGACUUGGUUUGAGACUUGUAAUGUAUGUAGUAUAUUGUAGUUGAAAUGUUUAAGAUGAUAUAUACUGUA